rnacentral:rRNA from 1 species
UACGGAGGGUGCAAGCGUUAAUCGGAAUUACUGGGCGUAAAGGGUACGUAGGCGGUUAUUUAAGUUGGAUGUGAAAGCCCUGGGCUCAACCUAGGAACUGCAUCCAAAACUGGAUAACUAGAGUGUAUAAGAGGUUAGCGGAAUUCCAGGUGUAGCAGUGAAAUGCGUAGAUAUCUGGAGGAACAUCAGUGGCGAAGGCGGCUAACUGGUAUAACACUGACGCUGAGGUACGAAAGCGUGGGGAGCGAACGGGAUUAGAUACCCCGGUAGUCCACGCCCUAAACGAUGAGAACUAGCUGUUGGUUGCGUAAAUGCAGUCAGUAGCGAAGCUAACGCGUUAAGUUCUCCGCCUGGGGAGUACGACCGCAAGGUUGAAACUCAAAGGAAUUGACGGGGGCCCGCACAAGCGGUGGAGCAUGUGGUUUAAUUCGAUGCAACGCGAAGAACCUUACCAUCCCUUGACAUCCUCAGAAUUUGUCGUAAUGACUUAGUGCCUUCGGGAACUGAGAGACAGGUGCUGCACGGCUGUCGUCAGCUCGUGUCGUGAGAUGUUGGGUUAAGUCCCGCAACGAGCGCAACCCCUAUCUUUAGUUGCCAGCACGUAAUGGUGGGAACUCUAGAGAGACUGCCGGUGAUAAGCCGGAAGAAGGUGGGGACGACGUCAAGUCAUCAUGGCCCUUACGGGAUGGGCUACACACGUGCUACAAUGGUGCAUACAGAGGG